rnacentral:lncRNA from 1 species
UUCUGUUGUACUCAAAAUUAAUUACAUUUGUUUUAUCACCUGUGUUCUUUUUCUCUACCAGCACCAUACCAUCUAGAAGCAGAGAUCUACUUAAAAAAAUCAUCCUGAAAUAAGAAUGCUCAGAUGAUCAGAGAAGUGGAAGUGGAUAAAGUGACUUUGCUGGAAAGAAAACAAGUUGAUGCAAUCAAGAAGCUCUGGGAAGACCCAGGAAUUCAAGAGUGCUAUAAUAAGUUAUUUGAUAUGGAAGAAGAUUGCGGAAAAGAACAGAAGGCCAUAAAUGAACAACAUAUGGAAAAUCCCAUUGGUCAUCUGCACAUAAUAAAGAUGUCAACGUGUCCCUUACUGGGACAAUAUUGAUGGCAAGUGAGUAGUUAGUUGACUUCACCGACUGGCAUUUCCUCUGCAAUAAGCUGUCAAAAUUUUUCAUAAUUUCAUCAAAUGUAAUUCCUUCACAUAUAUCAUAUUCUCCAUCCACUCCAUUUUCAUUGGCUAGGGGUUGCAAACUCAGUAUGGAUCUGUAAAUGAAAAAAAAUUUAAACACUUAAUAAAAGAUUGAUUUUUUUUCA